UCAAGGGUGGGGUAGAUUGAUGAGGUUUCGUAAGUGGAGAUUCAGACGAUCUAGGGCUUAAACAAGCUUUCUACAGAAAUCCAGCAACGAGGUAUGAUGUCAAGUUAUGAAUUAAUCAUCGAUUAGGAAAAAGAAGUAGAACUUCUUAUGCCAAACAAGGAAUUAUACGAGGAAAAAGAGCACUUAUCACUGGGUACAUAAAAGUUCUGUUGAACUGUUACUCCUUUGGUGAACUGCUUAUGCAUACAGGCGUAGCUUUGUUUUCCGGUCGUUUCUUGCUUUGGAUAUUGCAAGCCAUUGGUUGCCAAUGUACAGGUAGCAACUUUAAUUGGGGAUUCACAAGAAUCAAAGGAGUCGGCUGGAAAUGGGUUGGUGUUAUUUCAAAUGAUUCUACUUGGGCUCCAAGCGCGCGAUACAUCAAACUUCUUCAACGAAAAGAUCAGCGAAAAGAUGCAGUAAGGCUGCGUGAGGUACUUUACAUUCAAGAAGGUUAAUCAUCACACGAUGAAGAGAUGCCUUUCAUACAUAAGAAGGUAAAUUAUCAUACCUAAUCUGUCGAGCCAACAGAGCUUUAGCUGGCUGAUACAGAGCCACCGCACCUCGUUUAAGAUGGUGAACCCGGCCCUGAACUUAAAGUGUCAUGUCGCCAAAUUUCACUGUUUUUGCCUCAUAAUUACUGUGAUAGUAGUCUUCCAACCACUGUUUUUGUUUACACGUUGGUGAAUACGGGGAAAGGAAAGGGCACAAGUCAGUCUUCUUUUCACAUGGACGAAUUCUAUUGAUGGAACGUCACACUUUUCAGGAGAUCAUGUCAAUAAGCCUUUCAUGAGCGCCUUUGGAAAAUAACCGCAGCCGCUCAACUUUGUAGAAGAGUUUCUUUUGCUUCACGGUUAAGACUCCAACAACAAAGUUUACUGCAGAAGCGAAAGGAAGUCUCUCACGAUAUGGCAGAAGCCGUCAUGCAGUUUGGCCACGUGAUACAGGUCUUUGGGUUUGCAAAUGUUCUGUUCUGUCUUAUAUUUGAGUAAUUUAAAUACAGGUCUUUGUGUUUGCAAAUGUUUUAUUCUAUCUUAUAUUUGAGUAAUUUAAAAUUUACAAAUGUUCUUGUUAGAUUUGACAGGUGAAACGUAAGAGGGCAGAGCCAAACUACAUUGAAAAAUAAUCUACAGUUGGGAUUCAAGGAUAUGCAAUGAGAUUCAUGGGAUCUCCAGUGUAGACCACCUUGGGUGGCCUCUAUAUUCUCCAAUAAUUUAUGAUAAUUGCUAUUUUAUAUUAUUUUAGUAAGUGAAGUAUUAAUUAUGUCAAAAAUCUAUUGAAAUAGGCUGAGAAAAAUCUAUUUUAAAAUGAAAAGUUCUCGACGAGCUCCUUGUUCUGAGCGUUACUUGUGAUGGUGGUGCAGGCCUUAGGCCUGAUGUGAUCUCCAGUUUAGACCACCUUGGGUGGCUCCUAUAUUCUCCAAUAAUUUACGAUAAUUGCUAUUUUAGAUAUAGUUUCUAAACUCGAUUUAUUUAAAAUAGCUAUUUUAUCAUGAAAGCUUAUAGUUUUCUAGAUAUUGUUUCUAAACUCGAUUUAUUUUCAUCCAUUGCCUGCUACAUUAUAGUUUGAUUGUUCUAUUGAUUUUUGUUUGAAUUUUGAAAUAUGUUUGUUUAAUCUUAGGCUAGGAAGUUGAUUUUGUAGAAUCUGAGAUGUUAGGUUUUGUUAAUUCGCGAAUUGAAGGGAGAUUGAGCCCACAAUUUCUGUGGCGUUGGUAAUGGGGUUUUAAGGUAUAUCACUGGCACGGAUUUUCAAUUUUGUUUCCUCUGUUCUUCAGUUUGUCAUUUUGGUUAUUAGUUCUAUAUUUGGUUGUGUUGAUGAUGGCUGGACUUAAAGUGAAAGAGAAGGUGCAUUGUGUGAUUUUAGACAUGGCCCCACUAAUAUCUUGGUUGCUACUGGUGUUGCCUCUUGGGGCCAAGAAUUCUGCACAAUCACAUCCUACUUUGGCCACCACGGCUGCACCUAAAACCUAAAGAGCAGAAGCACAAGUCUAAACAAGUCAAACGAAAUGAGCUGAUGGGUUGAGGGUUGUGACCAUUGGGUUAAUUGGGUUGACGUAUCGACCUUAUACUUUUUUAUUUUUUGUUCUAAUUUUAAACGGGUUAACAUGUUGACAUGUUUAGUUAAAUUGGGCAAUCAAAACACGACCCGUUCAAUUAGACAUGACAAUCUAAAACUUGAUAUUUUCAUGUUGUGGUCUUGUUUCGGAAAGCAAUGCCUUUGUUCUUGACAUUGCU